CAGGUCUGUGUUGUGUCCUUUGUCCAGUCUUUUUGUGUCUUACAAUUCACAAUUGUUGCACCACAGCACUUGUCCAGAAAUGUGUCACUGGAGUUUGUGUUUGGCCUGGAACUGCUCUGCCCUGCAGUGUAGACUUGAGGAUAGGUGGAGUAGGAAGGAGACUUUACAGGUAACCUGUGAUAGGCUUAGCCACUCAGGGCAGCAGUUCUCCGGUCCUCCUGGAGGCAGCCCCUGUCUGCAGCGUGUGUGCAGUCACGAGAGCGGGCUUUUCCGGAGACGAUGGGAGUGGUACGGCAGGGCCUUUCAGUUAGGUCAGUGUUGGUUUGUGCAGGUUGUCUUUGGACCCCAGAUGGCUUGUCUAAAGAGAAAUUAGAAUUGCACAGCAGUUAAGGUCCCUCCAUUUAUAUGGCUGACUUUGGUAACUCAUUUCUUUGUAGUGUCAGAGGGACUGGAUGUAAAGCAGAGAUGAACAGAAGAGGGUGGAGGAGCACAGUCAGAAGAUGCGGAGCCCUCAGCCCAGCAGACGAUAGGCACCAGAGGGAAGGUGAGCCCGGUGAGGAAGGCAAUGCACCAACUUCUAACGUACAGUCCAGCGUGACAGGGACCCUGCCUGUAAGAGG